CCAGGAAGCUCAAGUCCCGCCAGGUACUGCGUUUUCUGUCUUCUCCUUGCUCUUUCCCACCGUUUGAGAAACUCAGAGCUCCUCCGCGCUUGUUUGCCUGGGAGUGGAGAGGUAACUAGUGGGUGGAAAGGAGACGUUGAUCACUCCCUCCUCCCCAAACUGGCCAAAGCCCGCUUAACUUUUCGCUUUGGCUUAACAGCUUCUUUAAAGCAAAGUUAAGAUUUGCGGGGAAAGCGGAGAGGGAUAUUCGAAGUGCUUUUUGAUUUUGUGUGUGUGUGUGUGUGUGUGUGUGUGUGUGUGUGUGUGUGUGUGUGUGAACUUGAACGUUUUUAAUCCCUGCCCCAGCGUAUAUAUUCUCCAGCCCUUGUUUGCACCUCCCCAGGCCAGGGCCUGGAUGGUGAUGAUGGCCGUGCGGAAUCACACUGAUCAACUGACCCGGGACAGGUCGCACGGAGGGACUCAGGCGAGGAGUGUCGCCGGUCGGUGACUCCGGGGACUCAGAGUGGCUGUGGGAGGCUGCGUAACUGGGCCUUGGGCCCCGGGGAGGCGCUUCGAAGCCGGGAAUGGCUACUGAGCGCCCGGACGUUUUAUGCCCUUCUGGCCAGCCUUCUAGCCUUCCUGACUGGGGUCCAGAGAGUCAGAACGCCACCCACGAAGCUAACAACCCCACCCACCCACACUGCUUCUGGGUAAAAGUAGCUGAGGGCCGGAACCCGGGAGGAAGGCAGUGACGUUCCUCCGCUGGCCACGGUUAGCUGCCCCGAUCCACAGUAUUAUGUCCCUUGGCUUUGGGUUGGGGGGUCCUUCAGGUAGGAGGAGGAUGCCCGGAUGGUGAACUGCCACCAGGUUGAGGGAACGAGGAGGCCUUUCGGUUGGGAAGCAGGGUGGAGGACCCAAGGCUGGAGGGAUUUGGGGCCGCACGGACGGCUUUUCGGGGAAGGUUGGGGAAGCGCCGAAGGCAAGUAUUUCCUGUGUUUCUCAGAAAUGGAAUGGACAGCCAAGAGCAGGUUUCAGGCUUUUAAAGUAGGGUUUCAUUUGGGAUAACGGAGUGGUGCCUCCUCCCCCCCUAAACUUCUGAGUCUCCACGUUCCCUAGCAGCGGACACUGCUGGCUAGUGUGUGCGUUCGUGUGUGACAGUUUUCUGCGCAGCAGGCCGAGAGUGAAGGCGAGAGGCUGAGCCCAAAGAGCAGGAGUGACCUGUAAAUAAACACAGACAUUAGGGCAAGUUUUCAGAAAUAGAUCGGAAAAGGGCCGUGGGCUAAAUCACGAAGAAAGCAUCUCCUAUUUGGUCUGUGAAUUGGAGGUGAACUGAAAUGAGUGAUCUGGAGGAGAGGGAAAAACUGGGGAUCAGGCCUGAGUCCCCAUGAUGAGGCCAGAUCUCUUCUGCCAUUCUCAGUAGCUCUCUCUGCUUCCUCCACGGCCACACGCCGGAACCAAGGCUUCAUAACAGAAGCAAGCAGAAUGAUUUCUUGUCUUUUCAGAAAGGUGUAGAGGGGUAUUUUCUCCACCUUCUAUUGUUCAGUAAUCCAAUGCCCAGGUAAUGUACCAGCCAUUUUAAAAAGGCCGAGAAUUUAGUAAAGAUGAGUGUUAGAUUUAUGGCAUUUUUAGCAUUUACAUUUUAAAGCUGGUAAAUUAGCAUCUGUGUGUAAGUUGGCUUGCAAAAUUAUAAAUCUUCCUUCUCUGCAGUUAUGUGGGAAAAAAGUAUGAUGUUAUGCAUUAGAACUACAGACGUUGAGUAUUACAGAAAAUACAAUGAAAUAGGUGAACUAUUUUAUUUAAAAAUUAAAUACUGAAUAUUUUAUCAAGGUAAGCCUAUGUGUUUACUUAUUGAAGUGCACAGAUUCCUAUACUAAUUUUUUGCCUUCAUUUUCAAAGAGUGAAGUUGGUGAUUUCAGAUAAAAAAUUUUUUGUAAUAUUUUAGUUUUAAGUAAUCUCUAUACCCAACUGUGGGGCUCGAGCUCACAACCCUGAGAUCAUGAGUUGCAUGCUCUACUGACCGAGCCAGCCAUGUGCCCCUGAGAUCAAAUUUUUUGUAUCUACCCUCUAGCCAAACUUCUUCCUGGAAGGAAAUGUCCAACAAACCAAUAAUUUGUUGUAUAGUUUUGAAAGCAAAUGAUAAACCAUCUAGAAGUUGACAUGUGACUAUAGAAUACAGUUCUAUUAACUCCAUUAUCAUUAGUGAUGUUGCAAAGAUGGUUAAAAGCAUUAUAUAGGUAUAUUAGAUGUAGUGUAGAUUAGAUUUUCAGAAUUUUUUACAAUAAUUAAGAUGACCAUUCAUUAUAGUAUGAUUAUAUCUGAGGCAUUGUCUUAUGGUACAUUAGAAAUCUGUAAUAAUAAUAACAAUAGCCAACAAUUAUAUAGAACUUUGUACCUGUUAUAAGUUUUAUAAAACCCUAUUAUACUUGCUUUACAUAUAUUAGUUUACAAUCUUUACAGUCCUCACCAUGACUCCACAAGAUAUGUACCUUUAACAUUUGCAUUUUUGCAAAUGAGGAAACUGAGGCACAGAAGUUAAGUAAUGUGUCUAAAGUCAUUUGUUCAGUAAGUGACAGCCUGGGUUUAGUAUAAUAAAGGUCAAUUGAUGUUUUUGUAAUUCUGUGGCAGUGAAAAAGAAACCAGUGUUAAAAAGUGGCCGUCUCUUAAGGAGACAAGCGGGAAUGUAGUGGUCGGCCUCAAAUCCCUGGAGACCCACAGAUUCUGUCCCCCAGCUCCUUUAAUUGUACUUUGAUCUUUGGCAAGUUUCAAAACUUUACGAUGCUUCAGUUCCCUCUUUUGUAAAAUGAGGAGACACACUUUUAUUUGAGGAGCUGUGGAGAAAAAAAAGACCUGAGACAGAGCAGGUGCUUCAGAACACUGAGCUCUUAUUUGAUCAGAAAAAUUGCCUGAGAAAAUAGAAACACAGGAUACAAGGGCAUAACCAAGCCCUACAAACUGUUCUUCCCCUUCAGUUUGUCAUUGGCGUUCUGAUUUCCUUCCACGGGUGGACCAGUGAUUCUAUAUGGGAAAAAACCCAUUCAGUGAAUCUGAAUGGUCCAGUGAGUAGUUCCACAAAGUGAACUUGUACAUUUCCCUCACUAUUCCGGUUUUAAUAUCCAAUCUGCAGAAUCACUAAAAUAUAACUAUUUGCCAGAAACAAAUGUCUUGUCUGAUUUGACUUCCAUAUGGUAUAGUGUGUGGAUGGAUAAGAGAUUUCACAAUCCUUUUCACAGAGAUUUAGCAGACACUAUGCUCAUGUGUAAACAUUUAGACUCUACCUCUAGUUUUAAUAAAAAGAUUACAAACAAAAUUUUCUUAGGUUGCUGGUUUUUUUUAAAGUUUGUCAUUGUGUUUCAUGGGCAAUCUAAAGCUUUUUCAUGGCCAGGGACGCUUAGGGUUAGGUGGGGGGACAAAGAUGAGCGAUAUUUCUUGGGUCCCAGGCAUUCCGGCGAAAACUGAAACCCUUAAACUUAUCUGUGACAAGAGUCUUUCCUGACAAGCAAUACCAAAAAAAUUUGACUAGGUCACAGUCAAUAAUUACAUGUCUAAUAACCGUGAAGCCCCACUUCUCUAAGGCUCUGCUCCCUAGGCUUCCCUUGGGCAGUCAGACCCCAUGGGCUGAGAAAAACAAAGACCGCAGCUUCCUUCGGAACUUCGUGGCCUCCAAGGCUGGGCGCCGAAAGUGGCGAUUUCUUUGGUUUGCGGUGCGGGAGAAGCAGCCGAGCACAAGGAAAGUGGGCUCCGGGUGAACUUGUGUCCCUUUUUGUCGUUCUUCUAGGAUCGCGGCUGCGGCCAGGAGGACGGGAGCCAACCCAACCCUCCGCAUCGGAGCCAGCCUACUGCACCCAGAGCCGGAGUCUGCGGGUGUCCUGAAGAGGGUGCGCAGCCACGGCCACCGGCGUGACCCGAAGGCCCGUGCCCCAUACCGGCGCCCAGGCACUACCCCGUGUCUUCUGCCACUCGUGUAGGCGCUCAGGACCUCUAGGCCCUGGGGUAGAUCCCGCCCCUUCUCCAGCACCUCCGGGAAGAACCAAAAGUUCAAUUUGGGAUUUUCCUGUAAACAAGAGCCUAGAGUGUUUUUUGCUCGAUGCUGGAUUUAAUACGUAUAUAUUUUUGAGGGAUUUGCAUUUUUACUUUUGAUUUUGGAUCUUCAUUUACCUGACAGCCGUCACCUGUACAUUAUUAUUAUUAUUAUUAUUAUUAUUAUUAUUAUUAUUAUUAUUACUCUCUCCCUGCCUUGCGCCUUGACUCGCGAGUGAGAGAGAGGACUCGGAGGCGGAGAGCUCCCAG
rnacentral:lncRNA from 1 species